CGGCGCGAGAGUCGGGCGGGAGGGUGAGACCAAGUGUACAGUACUCCACGGCGUGGAGGUAGUGGUCCUGAAGGUAGUGGGGCGGGACGAGAGGAAGCGGCUAGGAGAGGGCUGCUCCGGCCUGGGCCCCGGGGAGGAAACAAUAAUUUCGGAACUCAGUCUGCGGUAGGCCUAAUCUCUAGACCUGUCCUCAAGGAGCGCACAAUCAAGUAGCAAAGAUAGACAUGUAAACAAUUUCGACACAGUGUGAUGACUGCAACAAAAAGAAGCAUUAUGAGGUUAAAUUUAAAAAGGACUUUAGAAUUUGGUGACUGAUGACAGCACCCUGAAGGGAAGACCACAAACUCCUGAUGAAGUGAUGAUUUUCCAGGCCACCUUACUUCCUUCUGCCUACCUUUGAGGUCCAGUUGUCCAGCUCUUCUUUAAAUGUCAUGAGAUAACUUUAACAGCAUGACCAAAAAAAGAAGAAAGAGGAGGAGGAGGAGGAGAGGGAGAAGAAAACACCCAAAGCAGCCAUCACUUUGUGGGCAAGUGAAGAAGAAAAAAAUUCCUUACAUGUAAAUCUUUUAAGGAAAAAUAUGUCUUUUUUAAAAAAAAAAGAUUUAUUUUAGAGAGAAAGCUCA